rnacentral:rRNA from 1 species
UACGUAGGGUGCGAGCGUUAAUCGGAAUUACUGGGCGUAAAGGGUGCGCAGGCGGUCCUGCAAGUCAGGCGUGAAAUCCCCGGGCUUAACCUGGGAAUGGCACUUGAAACUACGGGACUGGAGUAUGGCAGAGGGAGGUGGAAUUCCACGUGUAGCGGUGAAAUGCGUAGAGAUGUGGAGGAACACCGAUGGCGAAGGCAGGUCUCCGGGCACUUACUGACGCUGAGGAGCGAAAGCGUGGGGAGCGAACAGG